AAAGUGCAGAGACUAUCCACCUCAGCUAUAGCACAGGGCUCAGCACUGUAUUUCCAGUUAUGGAAUACAGUUAUUUCAUAUAUGUUAUAUUAUUCUUAAUUCUGUCCCUAGUUCCUGCUACUGAGGAAGUCCAUACUCAGCAGGACAGUCUCCUGGUCUGCCAUGAAUUCAAACACAAUCUGUAAAGACAGUGAAGGAAGCUACAUCUGUGCAUGGGGGCUUUAGAGAAUUAUUGGCUUGAAGCAAUAAGAGGAACAUCUGGGCUGAGUAGUCCUCGAAGACUCUCAUGUGAUUCAAAAGUCCUUUUCUUCCUUAUUAUUUCCUAUCUUGCUCUCAAGCAUCUCCUCUGGCAGCAGCAACUGGAACUAAAAGUGAUUUCUCUAUAACAGCGAGCAAGUUUCUCAUGGCCUUUGCUAUUAACUCUUUCAUGCCUGCUGACCUGCAAAAGAAUCAGGAGGGCUGGUGCUGGAGCAGAUGGCGCACUGAUCCCUGGAUCCUCAUUCCUGAUAUAAGACUAGUUCUAGAUAAUUCAAUACAAGAAAGAAGAUUUGCUUGGGAAGGUAGAUGGGGCAAAGCAUUACCUUGUGUAAAACUGCUGCUAAAAUAUAUUCCUAGUGAGAAAGGUCAA
ensembl:lncRNA SYT9-AS1 SYT9 antisense RNA 1